CAGCACCUCAAGUGGUCAGGAUGAUUAUUGGGCCUAAAGCGUCCGUAGCCGGGCCCGUAAGUCCCUGGCGAAAUCCCACGGCUCAACCGUGGGGCUUGCUGGGGAUACUGCGGGCCUUGGGACCGGGAGAGGCCGGGGGUACCCCUGGGGUAGGGGUGAAAUCCUAUAAUCCCAGGGGGACCGCCAGUGGCGAAGGCGCCCGGCUGGAACGGGUCCGACGGUGAGGGACGAAGGCCAGGGGAGCGAACCGGAUUAGAGACCCGAGUAGUCC
rnacentral:rRNA from 1 species